rnacentral:rRNA from 1 species
AUUGAACGCUGGCGGCAGGCCUAACACAUGCAAGUCGAACGAGUGGCGCACGUGUGUGUAAUGUCUGGGAAACUGCCUGAUGGAGGGGGAUAACUCCUGGAAACGGUAGCUAAUACCUCAUACCAUCAGAUGUGCCCAGAUGGGAUUAGCUAGUUGGUGGGGUAACGGCUCACCAAGGCGACGAUCCCUAGCUGGUCUGAGAGGAGUACCAGCCACACUGGAACUGAGAGACGGUCCAGACUCCUACGGGAGGCAGCAGUGGGGAAUAUUGCACAAUGGGCGCAAGCCUGAUGCAGCCAUGCCGAGUGUAUGAAGAAGGCCUUCGGGUUGUAAAGUACUUUCAGCGGGGAGGCGUUACCCGAAGAAGAAGCACCGGCUAACUCCGUGACAGCAGCCGCGGUAAUUC